CUUGUGUGAUGUAUGUCAACUUGGCCAGGAUGAGUAGAAGCUGGCAUUCCUCAGUGCUGGAGGUUGAAGUGGCGUUGAACAAUGGUGUGGCACAGGUUGAACGAUGGUGUGUUAGGUUGUCUGGAUGGUACACCAUCAGUUGUGAUUUGACAAGCCAUGCAUGGCUGAUUGAUUGAAUUAAUUAAUGUGUGUUUAGAUCAGCUUUUGGGCUAUCUGUCACUGUUAGACUAUGGUGUUAUGGCUUGCUUCUUGCCCGCUCUGUUUUGUCUUUCGUGCAGCAUCUGUUACGACUGAACAUUGUAGCAAUCUCUUCCAAACUUGGCACAAACGAAAUCGGAUGAUGAAUACAGAUGGUUAACAAUGGAAUUGAGUUACUAAGUCUAUUACGCAGGCUAGAUGGCAGUCUGCAUAUUUCAUCCUUCAAUCUUCGCCUCUUUUCUGCAUGCUAGGCUAGCAUCUCUUAAUGGAAAGUGUAGAGGCCUUUCUGUAACUUUCUGUAUUUCUUGCCUUCAAAAUUAUCGGUCUUGACGCAGCC